rnacentral:rRNA from 1 species
GAUGAACGCUGGCGGCGUGCUUAACACAUGCAAGUCGAACGAAGCUGUUAGAAGGAAGCCUUCGGGUGAAAUUUUUAACAGACUUAGUGGCGGACGGGUGAGUAACGCGUGGAUAACCUGCCUUAUACAGGGGGAUAACGGAGAGAAAUUUCCGCUAACACCGCAUAAGACCACAGCACCGCAUGGUGCAGGGGUAAAAUAUUUAUAGGUAUAAGAUGGAUCCGCGUCCGAUUAGCAGUUGGUGAGGUAAGCCACCAAGGCGACGAUCGGUAGCCGGCCUGAGAGGGUGAACGGCCACAUUGGGACUGAGACACGGCCAAACUCCUACGGGAGCAGCAGUGGGGAAU